AGAUUUUAUUGAUUUUGAAGUGCUGAGAUUCGUGUGUCUUGAAGUUGUCAUCUACUGUUGCCAGUGAUUGGAUCCAUUUGUACCUGCUUGUUUGCCUGACCUCCUGCUGGAACUAUCUACUUUUCACCAUUCUUAUCUUAUCAUUUUUUUUUGAUAAGGUAAAAGUUUAUUAAUAAAGGUACAAUGAAGGUACUCAAAUUACAACUAAACA
rnacentral:lncRNA from 1 species